rnacentral:tRNA from 1 species
UCCUCAGUGGCUCAGUGGUAAAGAAUCUGCCUGUAAUGCAGGCGACUCGGGUUUGAUCCCUGGGUCAGGAA